rnacentral:ncRNA from 1 species
CGAAACACGAUGAACAGAAAGAAGUAAGGAAUGGUUGACUUUAAGAGAAGCGACGGUUGGUGAAAGUCGCUAGUCAACGUUCACUGAAAUGCCUCUGGGAGUGGUCUCGGCGAGUGAAGUUGAAGAAGUCGUUCUUUUUUACUUCAGGUAGCCGAGGACGUCAAAGCAUGCGUUAACAGCUAGAGGUAAUCAUGUGCGAUUAUAAAUAAAAGUGGAACCACGCCAAUUAGCGUCUUUUAA